GUGAGAAUUGGCAGGUGCCUGCCAGGAGGGGGGAUGUUAUGUCAGCACAGGUGUCAGAGAACGCGAGAGGUUUCUGAAGGAUGCGAGGUUUCCCUUGGGACCAACGACAGAGAAAACAGACUGAUGAAGAGACAACAGAAGUUACAUAACAUGUCCAAGGCAGUGAAACUGGAACACACAAGAAGCAGAAAUAUUAUUGGUAAAAGGGUGUGCAGGUGUGUAUGCAGACAUAGAGACCC
rnacentral:lncRNA from 1 species